GUGAACGAGUUCUCCAGCUGGCCGUCUGGAGCUCGUGAUGUAGUCUGGGAGAUAUUUCGGAUAAGUUAAAAAUAUUUAAUUUUUAAAUUUAUGGUAUAUUUAUAUUCUAUUUAUUAAUAUACACUUCGAUUCUAUCUUGUAGGAGUACUACCAAUUCGAGACUUCUCAGGAUGAGGAGGCUGACCAUCGAACCUUCGAUGAGGUGGCCACACGGAGGCUUCGAGAUAGCC
rnacentral:lncRNA from 1 species